rnacentral:tRNA from 5 species
GGGGACGUGGUCUAGGCUGGACUAGGACACCGGAUUGUCACUCCGGAGACCGCGGGUUCAAAUCCCGUCGUCCCCGCCA